UAGUCCACGCCGUAAACGAUGGAUACUAGGUGUUCGGCAGAUUAUCCUGCUGAGUACCGUAGUUCACGCAUUAAGUAUCCCGCCUGGGGAGUACGGUCGCAAGGCUAAAACUCAAAGGAAUUGACGGGGGCCCGCACAAGCGGUGGAGUAUGUGGUUUAAUUCGAAGCAACGCGAAGAACCUUACCUGGUCUUGACAUCCUGUGGCGAUGCUAGAGAUAGUAUUUUCCCUUCGGGGACGCAGUGACAGGUGCUGCAUGGCUGUCGUCAGCUCGUGUUGUGAAAUGUUGGGUUAAAGUCCCGCAACGAGCACAACCCCUGUCCUUAGUUGCCAGCAUUAAAGUUGGGGACUCUAGGGAGACUGCCGGUGUUAAACCGGAGGAAGGCGGGGAUGACGUCAAAGUCCGCAUGGCCCUUACGACCAGGGCUACACACGUACUACAAAUGGCAAAGACAAAACCGACUGCGAAGCAGUAAAUGUGGAGCUAAAUCGGUAAAAACAAUUAGUCUCAGUCCGGAUUGAAGUACUGCAA
rnacentral:rRNA from 1 species